CUAAGUUUGAUGGCGACCGGCGCACGGGUGAGUAACACGUAUCCAACCUGCCGAUGACUCGGGGAUAGCCUUUCGAAAGAAAGAUUAAUACCCGAUGGCAUAGUUCUUCCGCAUGGUAGAACUAUUAAAGAAUUUCGGUCAUCGAUGGGGAUGCGUUCCAUUAGGUUGUUGGCGGGGUAACGGCCCACCGAGCCUUCGAUGGAUAGGGGUUCUGAGAGGAAGGUCCCCCACAUUGGAACUGAGACACGGUCCAAACUCCUACGGGAGGCAGCAUG
rnacentral:rRNA from 1 species